rnacentral:lncRNA from 1 species
AUUUUCUAUACUGACGAAAGUAAAGACAGCAAUACCUCUGAAAUUUCAUUGAUUUGUUUCAAAAUAUAUUUUCACGAUUCACAUUUUAUAAUAUUUCUAAACAUGAGAAUCAGAACAUAAAGAUAUGGAUAUAACUGCCAAUGAGAUAACUUUCCACAAGUGACCAAUUGAUAGACAUCCAAAUGUCAGCAUACAUCCUUUAACAAUGAGCAAGACCCUAUACCGGAAAGCAAGCUAUAAAAAGGCCCUGACAUGACAAAAUAUAAUCAAUUUAAACGAGAAAAAUAACUGCCUGAUUUAUGUUCAAAAUUACAAAAAAAAAAAGAAAGAAAAAUAUUAUAUACAGCUUAAAAACGACAACCCCUGAAUUACAGGCUACUGACUUCGGAGGGACAUAUUCAAAAUGUUAAAUCUAGUUGUUAAUGGCAAACCAUCCUAACAUAUGAAGGGGUAUAACACCCAAC